GUAUUCCCUAUGGCCGGAAACACCAUCAUCGU
rnacentral:scRNA from 1 species